UGGAUCCAGACUUUGAUUAUGGCUCAGGACGAACGCUGGCGGCGCGCCUAACACAUGCAAGUCGAACGGGGUUAUACUGGAUGAAGUUUUCGGAUGGAAUUUGGUAUAACCUAGUGGCGGACGGGUGAGUAACACGUGAGCAACCUGCCUAUCAGAGGGGGAUAACGAUUGGAAACGAUCGCUAAUACCGCAUGACAUAGCGGAACCGCAUGGUUCUGUUAUCAAAGAUUUUAUCGCUGAUAGAUGGGCUCGCGUCCGAUUAGAUAGUUGGUGGGGUAACGGCCUACCAAGUCGACGAUCGGUAGCCGGACUGAGAGGUCGAACGGCCACAUUGGGACUGAGACACGGCCCAGACUCCUACGGGAGGCAGCAGUGGGGGAUAUUGCACAAUGGGGGAAACCCUGAUGCAGCGACGCCGCGUGAGGGAAGACGGUCCUCUGGAUUGUAAACCUCUGUCUUCGGGGACGAAAGUAGACGGUACCCGAGGAGGAAGCCACGGCUAACUACGUGCCAGCAGCCGCGGUAAUACGUAGGUGGCAAGCGUUGUCCGGAAUUACUGGGUGUAAAGGGAGCGUAGGCGGGCAGGCAAGUCAGGCGUGAAAUAUAUCGGCUCAACCGGUAACGGCGCUUGAAACUGCAGGUCUUGAGUGAAGUAGAGGUUGGCGGAAUUCCUAGUGUAGCGGUGAAAUGCGUAGAUAUUAGGAGGAACACCAGUGGCGAAGGCGGCCAACUGGCUUUUACUGACGCUGAGGCUCGAAAGUGUGGGGAGCAAACAGGAUUAGAUACCCUGGUAGUCCACACCGUAAACGAUGAUUACUAGGUGUGGGGGGACUGACCCCUUCCGUGCCGGAGUUAACACAAUAAGUAAUCCACCUGGGGAGUACGGCCGCAAGGUUGCAACUCAAAGGAAUUGACGGA
rnacentral:rRNA from 1 species